AAAUAUUAUAUUGCGUGCGUGGAUAUUGGGGUCGCUCCAUGGUGGAAUUCAUCGAUGUGGCUAAGUGUGCGACUUACUCAGAUAGCCAGGUACAUACGAGCGUUUAUCUAAUGAAUUUGUAACCGGCACAGGCGUGUCUACAUCGUACUCGUGCACCACGGAGCGUGGCAAUGUUAAGGCACCGCUACUCGAAGCACCAUCACUACAAACUAUAAUUGGGAGAUCUACACUGCUUCAACUCACCUGGCGUUGUGCUGUGUAUAUUCUUAUCUAUAUUCUUCAGCUCCAUUUGAUCGUGGUGUAUCCAUAGAUCUGGCGGUUUUGGCACUCCCACAUUUUGGUAGCUACUUAAAAAAUAUUAAAAUUGGUUAGAAACAUUUUUGUCAGCUCAAGAAA